rnacentral:rRNA from 1 species
UACGUAGGGCGCAAGCGUUAUCCGGAAUUAUUGGCGUAAAGAGCUCGUAGGCGGUUUGUCGCGUCUGCCGUGAAAGUCCGGGGCUCAACUCCGGAUCUGCGGUGGGUACGGGCAGACUAGAGUGCAGUAGGGGAGACUGGAAUUCCUGGUGUAGCGGUGAAAUGCGCAGAUAUCAGGAGGAACACCGAUGGCGAAGGCAGGUCUCUGGGCUGUAACUGACGUGAGGAGCGAAAGCAUGGGGAGCGAACAGG